rnacentral:rRNA from 1 species
GACGAACGCUGGCGGCGUGCCUAAUACAUGCAAGUAGAACGCUGAAGAGAGGAGCUUGCUCUUCUUGGAUGAGUUGCGAACGGGUGAGUAACGCGUAGGUAACCUGCCUUGUAGCGGGGGAUAACUAUUGGAAACGAUAGCUAAUACCGCAUAACAAUGGAUGACACAUGUCAUUUAUUUGAAAGGGGCAAUUGACUCCACUACAAGAUGGACCUGCGUUGUAUUAGCUAGUAGGUGAGGUAAUGGCUCACCUAGGCGACGAUACAUAACCGACCUGAGAGGGUGAUCGGGCCACACUGGGACUGAGACACGGCCCAGACUCCUACGGGAGGCAGCAGUAGGGAAUCUUCGGGCAAAGUGGGGGCAACCCUGACCGAGCAACGCCGCGUGAUUGAAGAAGGUUCUCGGGAUCGUAAAGCUCUGUUGUAAGUCAAGAACGGGUGUGAGAGUGGAAAAGUUC